rnacentral:rRNA from 1 species
GAUGAACGCUGGCGGCGUGCCUAAUACAUGCAAGUCGAGCGAACGGACGAGAAGCUUGCUUCUCUGAUGUUAGCGGCGGACGGGUGAGUAACACGUGGAUAACCUACCUAUAAGACUGGGAUAACUUCGGGAAACCGUAGCUAAUACCGGAUAAUAUUUUGAACCGCAUGGUUCAAAAGUGAAAGACGGUCUUGCUGUCACUUAUAGAUGGAUCCGCGCUGCAUUAGCUAGUUGGUAAGGUAACGGCUUACCAAGGCAACGAUGCAUAGCCGACCUGAGAGGGUGAUCGGCCACACUGGAACUGAGACGCGGUCCAGACUCCUACGGGAGGCAGCAGUAGGGAAUCUUCCGCAAUGGGCGAAAUCCUGACGGAGCAACGCCGCGUGAGUGAUGAAGGUCUUCGGAUCUUAAAACUCUGUUAUUAGGGAAGAACAUAUGUGUAAGUAACUGUGCACAUCUUGACGGUACCUAAUCAGAAAGCCACGGCUAACUACGUG